GUCGAGCGGAAAGGCCACUUCGGUGGUACUCGAGCGGCGAACGGGUGAGUAACACGUGAGUAAUCUGCCCUUGGCUUUGGGAUAGCCACCGGAAACGGUGAUUAAUACCGGAUACGACCACUUCUCGCAUGGGAUGGUGGUGGAAAGUUUUUCGGCCAGGGAUGUGCUCGCGGCCUAUCAGCUUGAUGGUGAGGUAAUGGCUCACCAUGGCUUCGACGGGUAGCCGGCCUGAGAGGGUGACCGGUCACACUGGGACUGAGACACGGCCCAGACUCCUACGGGAGGCAGCAGUGGGGAAUAUUGGACAAUGGGCGGAAGCCUGAUCCAGCAACGCCGCGUGAGGGAUGACGGCCUUCGGGUUGUAAACCUCUUUCAGCAGGGACGAAGCGCAAGUGACGGUACCUGCAGAAGAAGCACCGGCCAACUACGUGCCAGCAGCCGCGGUAAUACGUAGGGUGCGAGCGUUGUCCGGAAUUAUUGGGCGUAAAGGGCUCGUAGGCGGUUUGUCGCGUCGGGAGUGAAAACGCCGUGCUUAACACGGCGCUUGCUUUCGAUACGGGCAGACUAGAGGUAUUCAGGGGAGAACGGAAUUCCUGGUGUAGCGGUGAAAUGCGCAGAUAUCAGGAGGAACACCGGUGGCGAAGGCGGUUCUCUGG
rnacentral:rRNA from 1 species